UACGAAGGGGACUAGCGUUGUCCGGAAUCAUUGGGCGUAAAGCGCGUGUAGGCGGUUCGGUAAGUCUGCUGUGAAAGUCCAGGGCUCAACCCUGGGAUGCCGGUGGAUACUGUCGGACUAGAGUACGGAAGAGGCGAGUGGAAUUCCCGGUGUAGCGGUGAAAUGCGCAGAUAUCGGGAGGAACACCAAUUGCGAAGGCAGCUCGCUGGGACGUUACUGACGCUGAGACGCGAAAGCGUGGGGAGCAAACAGG
rnacentral:rRNA from 1 species